UUGAACGCUGGCGGCAGGCCUAACACAUGCAAGUCGAGCGGAUGAAGGGAGCUUGCUCCUGGAUUCAGCGGCGGACGGGUGAGUAAUGCCUAGGAAUCUGCCUGGUAGUGGGGGAUAACGUCCGGAAACGGGCGCUAAUACCGCAUACGUCCUGAGGGAGAAAGUGGGGGAUCUUCGGAACUCACGCUAUCAGAUGAGCCUAGGUCGGAUUAGCUAGUUGGUGGGGUAAAGGCCUACCAAGGCGACGAUCCGUAACUGGUCUGAGAGGAUGAUCAGUCACACUGGAACUGAGACACGGUCCAGACUCCUACGGGAGGCAGCAGUGGGGAAUAUUGGACAAUGGGCGAAAGCCUGAUCCAGCCAUGCCGCGUGUGUGAAGAAGGUCUUCGGAUUGUAAAGCACUUUAAGUUGGGAGGAAGGGCAGUAAGUUAAUACCUUGCUGUUUUGACGUUACCAACAGAAUAAGCACCGGCUAACUUCGUG
rnacentral:rRNA from 1 species